GACUCUCGGCAACGGAUAUCUCGGCUCACGCAUCGAUGAAGAACGUAGCAAAAUGCGAUACUUGGUGUGAAUUGCAGAAUCCCGUGAACCAUCGAGUUUUUGAACGCAAGUUGCGCCCGAAGCCUUUUGGCUGAGGGCACGUCUGCCUGGGCGUCACGCA
rnacentral:rRNA from 1 species